rnacentral:rRNA from 1 species
AGGACUAACGCUGGCGGCGUGCCUAACACAUGCAAGUCGAACGAACGUAGCAAUACGUUAGUGGCAGACGGGUGAGUAACGCGUAGUCAACCUACCUCUUAGUGGGGGAUAACUAAUCGAAAGGUUAGCUAAUACCGCAUACGAUCGUCGAGUGGCAUCACUUGACGAUGAAAGCAGCAAUGCGCCGAGAGACGGGACUGCGUCCCAUUAGUUAGUUGGUGGGGUAAUGGCCUACCAAGACUCCGAUGGGUAGCUGGCUUGAGAGAGCGACCAGCCACACUGGAACUGAGACACGGUCCAGACUCCUACGGGAGGCAGCAGUGAGGAAUUUUCCGCAAUGGGGGCAACCCUGACGGAGCGACGCCGUGUGUGGGAAGAAGGCCUUCGGGUCGUAACCACUGUCGAAGGGGACGAUAUUGACGGUACCCUUGGAGGAAGCCCGGCUAACUACGUGCCAGCAGCCGC